rnacentral:rRNA from 1 species
AUUGAACGCUGGCGGCAGGCCUAACACAUGCAAGUCGAACGAGUGGCGGACGGGUGAGUAAUGUCUGGGAAACUGCCCGAUGGAGGGGGAUAACUACUGGAAACGGUAGCUAAUACCGCAUACCAUCGGAUGUGCCCAGAUGGGAUUAGCUAGUAGGUGGGGUAACGGCUCACCUAGGCGACGAUCCCUAGCUGGUCUGAGAGGAUGACCAGCCACACUGGAACUGAGACACGGCCCAGACUCCUACGGGAGGCAGCAGUGGGGAAUAUUGCACAAGGGGCGCAAGCCUGAUGCAGCCAUGCCGCGUGUAUGAAGAAGGCCUUCGGGUUGUAAAGUACUUUCAGCGAGGAGGCGUUACCCGCAGAAGAAGCACCGGCUAACUCCGUGCCAGCAGCCGCGGUAAUAC